UGAAGACUUCAUCUGAGACCCAUUUAAAACCGUCACAAUUUGUACAAGUGAGGUUUGAUUUUGCAGUGGGCAGUUUUUGAAGCAAUGACCAGAUUCUCCGCAAGCGUAACAACCAUUCUCUACUGGUAAUUUCACCAUCUUGCAUUUGACAGGAUCGAUGGCAUCGUCAAACCAUUCAAAGUACUGACAGGGCCUAAUUUAUAUGAAUGAAGCUGAAUCUGACCGUUACAAAUCCAACCGUUACAAAUCCGACCGUUGCAAUGAGUCACCGAGUUGACUCGAUACUGGUUUGGUUACGAACUCAGACGAGGGUUAAGUCGUCUUUUACCUAGCAGGUUAACUGCCACGUAGCCAGUUAACUAUCUAAAUUCGUUUUUUGAAA